AGUGGAAUUGCUGGGUAAUAUGGUAACUCUCUGUUUAACUAUUAGAAGAAUUGCCAAACUGUUUUUCAAAGUGGCUGCAACAUAUUACAUUUCCACUAGUAAU
rnacentral:pre_miRNA from 1 species